GGAGGUAUAGCCCAGUUGGUUAGAGCGCUUGCUUGACAUGCAAGAGGUCACAAGUUCGAGUCUUGUUAUCUCCACCA
rnacentral:tRNA from 1 species